ensembl:lncRNA
GUACGCUCUUCCUUCUUGUGAACCGUAAAAGUGAUUGUUUACAACUCUCUCUCUCUUUAAUAUGGAUCGCCUAUGUUUUGUUAAGUCUGGAAUUUUAAUCUUUAUCUUUACUGAGAAUAACUACAGUAUAUAUGCCUACACCAUGUUGAUUAAAACACCUUUGUUUCAUCAGAGCUUUGGUCCCCGUGUCUUUCUUUCUUUCUCUCUCUCUCUCUCUCUAUUUCUGGCUGAUUUCCUGGAACGCGAAAGCCGGCUUCGUAACCCAGGAAAUAUUAGCCUCUCUCCUUCUUUCGCUUUCUCAUUGUCAACUCUGGACCACCAGGUUCCGGUCCAUUAAAGGACCUCAACACAGGAUGAUUCCAGGGGCCACGUACUGAACUAUUAGAACUCCAUUCCCAAGUCAUGAUGAAGGUAGUGGUGGCAGCCGUCUUUGAACCACUUGGACUGGGAGAGUUGAAGGUGGAGGAGAGGAGCCACCAGUGUCUGCCCCAGCUCUUCUGGGUUGCCACAGAGUGUACAAUCCAGAAGGUCAAGGAAUAGCCAGUACAUCAGUCAGGAAGUAGACACCUCAAAUUAUGAUGUGUUGAGAAGUUAAUGAGGGCACUCUUCAUGGCGGGAUGUUGGGUUAUUGGAGAUGGAAGCAUUUAUUCAACAUGGAGGAAAAGAGGCUAGCAUCCUUUCCUGGUAUUCUGUCAGCAUAGACCACUGGCUAUCCCAGACUGAAGAAAGACUGUUGGUGGGAGAAGAGAGGUGAACCCCCUGAGGUCCAAAACAAACCGAAACCUAAAAAGUAGGGUCCACAUUAGUGAAUAGAUUCUGCCUUUUGGAGGAGUGUGUCCUCAGGUGACCCCUGCUGCAGCCGUCUUGUGACCAUAAGGAGAGAAACGAGCUACGUCCUGAGGUUGCAAAGCACAAGAUCGGCCAGCAUUUGAGCCUUUAAUGACAUCUUCCUGCCCCUGGAUUAACUAAAUGUAGAAUUUCCCCUCAUUUCUGGACCUCUAGCUAUGUAGGUUAAUAAACUUCUAUUGUUUAAUGU